rnacentral:rRNA from 1 species
ACUUCGUGAUUCAUGACUGGGGUGAAGUCGUAACAAGGUAACCGUAGGGGAACCUGCGGUUGGAUCACCUCCUUACCUUAAAGAA